rnacentral:tRNA from 1 species
UGCCGCACGGGCCGAGGUGGCACAGGCCUGGGGCCUCGACGGCCCCGACGACCUGCCGUCCCAGCCGGGGCGUGACACC